AACGAACGCUGGCGGCAGGCCUAACACAUGCAAGUCGAGCGAGGACUUCGGUCCUAGCGGCGGACGGGUGAGUAACGCGUGGGAACGUGCCCUUUGCUUCGGAAUAGCCCUGGGAAACUGGGAGUAAUACCGGAUGAGCCCUUUGGGGGAAAGAUUUAUCGGCGAAGGAUCGGCCCGCGUUGGAUUAGGUAGUGGGUGGGGUAAUGGCCUACCAAGCCGACGAUCCAUAGCUGGUUUGAGAGGAUGAUCAGCCACACUGGGACGGAGACACGGCCCAGACUCCUACGGGAGGCAGCAGUGGGGAAUCUUAGACAAUGGGGGAAACCCUGAUCUAGCCAUGCCGCGUGAGCGAUGAAGGCCUUAGGGUUGUAAAGCUCUUUCAGCUGGGAAGAUAAUGACGGUACCAGCAGAAGAAGCCCCGGCUAACUCCGUG
rnacentral:rRNA from 1 species